CCUCGCUAGGGCACUUCGCAGGAGACUGGACUUGCUGCGCACAAAAAAAAAAACAUUUCCUGCAGAUUUUCAAGAUUUCCCUUCAAAACCGUAUUUUGGAAAAUGAGGCCAUCGAGCUGAUGAAACACAGCAGCGUGUCCGCGGCGCACGUUCUCGGGAGAUAUCGCUUCAUGAGAUCCACCAACAUGCUGCGUGGGUGUAUUUUUUAUUAGUGUUCUUCGGAAGGGAGAAAAGAAGGGAAUGAAACGUGUUUACGCACCCUCCGUCACCCGCUACCAACACCACCACCUCCACCAUCUCUGACCACCGGUGAUUCUUCUUCUUUUUUUUUUACUUGUAUGCACAUCUCUUCGAGACAAGGUGUUCAUGGAGGAGCGACCCUUCGCCCUUUCUACCCGGACAGGUUCGGGUGAUCGCUGGUCUCGAGACACGUCGAGAUAAGGAGGGCGCGAGGAGUGUUUGUGUGUGUGUCGGCCUGUGUGUGUGCGUGUGUGUCUGUGUGUGUGUUUGUGUGUGGUACAUGCGUGGUUGGUGUUUUCUUUGGUCUGUGUGUGCGUCGUUCAGUGUGUGUGUCUGUGUGUGUGUGUGUGUGUGUGUGUGUUGUGCGUACAUGCGUGGUGGGUGUGUGUGUGUGUGUGUGUGUGUGUGUGUGUGUGUGUGUGUGUGUGUGUGUGUGUGUGUGUGUGUGUGUGUGUGUGUGUGUGUGUGUGUGUGUGUGUGUGUGUGUGUGUGGUUCAGUGUGUGUGUGUGUGUGUGUG
ensembl:lncRNA